AGCAUGCUGGGAUUGAUUUGUGAUGUCUGCCACGAAUAUAAGAUUGGCCAUUUGGGGCAUGAAUGCUAUUCAUGGAUUGGAUCUCCUAAGAGCCCGAAUUUCUGAGAAACCACUGAAGACCUGACCCCAGCGCUUAAUUAUUUCUCCUUUCCAAGCAUCUCUCAUGGAAGGCAUCUUGGAUGAAAAGACCUUUGGCAGCGUGGGUUUUGCAGGGACCGUCUGGUACCAGGAACUGGCCAAAUGUGAAGGUGUAAAACACAAAGUUCACACCCUGAAGAACCUUCUAGUCCAGUCGGGGAGAUGGACCCAGAAUGUCAGAUUAAGAUUGGCCUGCAUCAGCCCAAAUGGUUCCAUGUUCUUCUUUUUAAUGGCUGCAUAGUACUCCUUUGCAUGGAUGCACCACAGUUCAUUUAACCAGAGUCCUGUUGGCAGGCAUUUCAGAUGUUUGCAAUUUUUCUGUGAGACCAACACCACUGUGAUCAGCAUCCUGUUGCUGUGUGAAAAGUCCAGGCUAGCCUGCUGGAGGAUGAGUGAUGGGUGAAGCAGAGAUGAAUUUUCAGAGCUGGCUUCAUCUGAGACCAGCCAGCCCUAGCUGUGGAAGGCAGACACUUAGCAAACCCAGCCAAGAUCAGCCAAGCCCAUCCCAGGGCAGAAGAACCACCAAGCUGAUCCCAGUCCACAUCUACUUCUGGAAGCACGUGCUAAAUAAAUGGUUGCUGUUUUAAGCCACUGAGCUAUGGGAGGCUUUGUUUCCCAGCAAUAACUAAUUGAUAAAUCAUCAACAGUAAAAUGGAUAAAUGAAUUGUGGUACAGGCACACGUGGAAUGAAAAACAUUAAGGAGAAUAAAUAAACUACUGCUACACAAGACAACAUGGAUGAACCUCACCAAUACUAAGCCGGGUGAAGGAAGCUCAGCAGGCAGAGUGCAUCCUACAAGAUGCCUUUUAUAGAAAAAGUACAAGAAUAGGUGAGAGUAAUCUAUGGAGAGAUAAGUUAGGGUAGUGGUUACCUUUGAGGGGGGACUAAAUAGGAGGGGGUUAGCUACUGGGGUGUGUUCACUUGGUGACCAUUUGUUGGGCUGUAUACUUAACAUAUGUGCAUUUUUGUGCAUGUAGUUUAUACUUUGGUAAAAAGAUUUAAAAAUAUCAGGUCUCUUGUUUCUUUUCUAGUUGCUGGAGAGCCAGUGGGAUUGCAUCUUUUGCAGAGGACAGGUCCUUAAGGGCAAAAUCGCUUAAGAGUCAAAAUGGCCUUGAAAAUUCCUUGGGAAGCCGUCAUGUUGGAGCCAACCACUAUUUCUCAAUAAUUUCAGCACAGCCAGUUUUUCCUCCUGCGUUGGGACGGAUCGCUGUUUCUCCUGUCAAGCUCCAGAUACAGUAAAGUCUUGUGUUUAGGGGCCACACAGUGGAGUGGGACACUCACAGGCAGAGGGAGGAACCAGGUGCUCCUACUCAGAGACACGUGGGACCCAACGGGAGGGUUUGGCUUGGAAGAGACACCUUCAAAGUGAGUGGUGUGGGGAUUUCCCCAUCAUAUAAUGUCCCCUUUGGGGUGUGAGGGGCAAAUGUGUUUAGUUAAGUGGAUCUUAACUCAGUUAAAUUAAAUUCAUGUAUGAUGUGA